rnacentral:rRNA from 1 species
UACGUAGGGUGCAAGCGUUUAAUCGGAAUUACUGGGCGUAAAGCGUGCGCAGGCGGUUUUGUAAGUCAGAUGUGAAAUCCCCGGGCUUAACCUGGGAACUGCGUUUGAAACUACAAGGCUAGAGUGUGGCAGAGGGGGGGUGGAAUUCCACGUGUAGCAGUGAAAUGCGUAGAGAUGUGGAGGAACACCGAUGGCGAAGGCAGCCCCCCUGGGUUAACACUGACGCUCAGGCACGAAAGCGUGGGGAGCAAACAGG